rnacentral:tRNA from 1 species
GCCGGGGUGGUGGAAUUGGCANNNGACUACCGUGCCGGUUCAAGUCCGGCCCUCGGCACCA